CAGUAGCCGCGUAAUACGAAGGGGGCUAGCGUUGCUCGGAAUGACUGGGCGUAAAGGGCGCGUAGGCGGCGAUCAAAGUCAGGCGUGAAAUUCCUGGGCUCAACCUGGGGGCUGCGCUUGAUACUUGGUUGCUUGAGUGGGGAAGAGGGUCGUGGAAUUCCCAGUGUAGAGGUGAAAUUCGUAGAUAUUGGGAAGAACACCGGUGGCGAAGGCGGCGACCUGGUCCUUGACUGACGCUGAGGCGCGAAAGCGUGGGGAGCAAACAGGAUUAGAUACCCGCGUAGUCCCUGUCUCUUAUACC
rnacentral:rRNA from 1 species